UACAGAGGGGGCAAGCGUUGUUCGGAAUUACUGGGCGUAAAGGGCGCGUAGGCGGCCUGCUAAGUCGAACGUGAAAUCCCCGAGCUCAACUCGGGAACUGCGUCCGAUACUGACAGGCUUGAAUCCGGGAGAGGGAUGCGGAAUUCCAGGUGUAGCGGUGAAAUGCGUAGAUAUCUGGAGGAACACCGGUGGCGAAGGCGGCAUCCUGGACCAACACUGACGCUGAGGAGCGAAAGCCAGGGGAGCAAACGGG
rnacentral:rRNA from 1 species